rnacentral:lncRNA from 1 species
GCAGGGAACAGCUGCAGUAGUACCCAGAGUGGUAACCAUGGCAACCUGAGGCCCUUGAGGCCGCAUAUUGUUUGCUCAGCCAGAAUCUCUUUUAAGUGCCAGCAGGAAUCGGAAGUGGGGAGACUUCAUAAAGAGCCAGCCAAUCCAUCAGCCAAUGCUUACUCUAGAGACAAUGAAGUUCCACUUGUUUUCAGGACACACCUCUUUCUUGGUUCUUCUCUUUUGCUGGAUCUUCAUUCAGAAAACAAUGGUUAGUUAACUUAAUCGAGGCUUUGUCCUGGGUCCUCUUCUCUCUCUCUCUCUCUCUCUCUCUCUCUCUCUCUCUCUCUCUCUCUCUCUCUCUCUCUCUCUCUCUCUCUCUCUCUCUCUCCCUCUCCCUCUCCCUCUCCCUCUCUCCCUCCCUCUCUCUCUCUCCCUCCCUCUCUCUCUCUCUCUCUCUCUCUCUCUCUCUCUCUCUCUCUCUCUCUCUCUCUCUCUCCAGGCCUCUUUAUUCCCUGGGACACAAUAUUGAAUUUAGGCAAAUUAAUAAUUCUAAAAUGGAUUCUAAGUGUUCAAGAGAAAAGUCAGUUGAUGUGGUAAGUUUUAUUAUUGUCUUAUUUUAAGAGAUUGCCACAGCUACCCUGCUUUCAGCAACCAACUUUCUGAUCAGUCAGCAGCCAUGAACAAUGAGGUAAGACUAUCAUCAAAAAGGCAUAACUGGAUAAAGGCUCAGAGGAUAGCAUUUUUUUUAGCAAUAAAGCAUUUUUAAUUAAGAUAUACA